CCAAUUCAAUUUCCAAUUUAUAAAAUUCUUUUAAUCUCAGUCGUGGAUCAGAAUCAAUUCAACGACUGAUAUCAUAUCACUCAUGCUUUCAUUUUAAACUCAAAAUAAAAUCCUAAUCCCUCAAAACAAUUCGCCUCUACCUUCUCUCUUCUUUCUCUCUCUAAAAGUCAGUCAUCACCGUCGUCUAAUGUCAUUUGUCUGAUGAGCCAUGAUGCUACUGCCUUCAUCGGCUAAACUAGCCAUUGGUGAACCACCAACGGGCACACCCACCCUUCUUUGUCCUUCUCCGACUAGCAACUGCCACUGCCACCGGCAACUCUCAUGUCGCACCCCUCUAUUUCUCCGUACGAAAACCCUUAACAAAACCAUCAUGUUGCCGCCGUCACAACAACAAUAAUACCUCCCAUCGUUGCUCCAUCCUCCUCAACUCUAGUGUCGCCGCUGCUGACCCAUUUUUUUUGGAAAAGUAAUGGGUUUUCAAAAUCCCAUCCUGUUAUGACCAAAUGUUUUUAUUUUUGUGUUUAAUUUUAAUUAUAUUAUACCUCUUUUUCCCUUUUCUUUGAGAUAUUUUAGAUUCAAAAUUAAUAAAGUGUGAUUGAUUUUUUUGUCUGAUUCUCUAUCAUUUGCGUUUAUUUAUAUGCUAAGACUAUCAUAUGUUAAAAGACUCAAUUUUCAUCAACUUUGACUAACCCUAAAUUUUUAAAUUGGGUAUUAAUUUGCCCAUCGUUAUUCUCUUGUCUAUCAAUUAUUAGUGAACUAAUCUGGUAGCAAUGAGUUAUGCAUAUGCUUGCCCUUCCGUUUAAAUUUGAUUUUAGAUUGAUUUUUGAUAUAAGUAGAUGAAUGUUAACUGAUUUCAUUGUAUACUGGAUAUGUGAUUUUUGAUAAAAUGUUUGAUAUUAGUUGAUUCACCCUUCUAAUUGGAAUAACUUGGUGCCUAGUUAAUUUUGGUAGGUUCUACUUUGAUUAUUUUUCACCCUUUAAAUGACAACUUUGUUACUUGAACAAAUAAGAUAGACAUAUGCUUUGCUCAAAUUCUUAGUAUUUAUACAGAUUUGGGUAGAUUGUAUGAGUUUAUCUAUGGUAAGUGAACACAAUUUCCUCUCCUUAAUUGAUUCAGUUUACUGAUUUUUUAGAAUAUUGUAUUUUUUUUAACUCCUAAUUGAUUCUUACCUAUUUUUUCCUCUUAACUCUUUAUUAUUUUCAUUUUAUAUAGAGCCCCUUCUUUCAUUGCAUGGAAAGACCUUUUUCCUCCUUUUUACAACCUUAAAAGAAAAGAAACAGACAACUAUAUUCCCUAAAGCAAACAUAAUUCACCACUUAAAAUUCUUUAGUGGUUUUUGGGUUUUGACGAAGCAUUCAGUUUACCUCAUUAUUGCAGUCACUUUGAUUAAACAUCUUAUUUACUCUUCCUUUGUCGUGUAUUGGUAAGUCUCUAUCGACGUAAAUUUCUUUUUGAUGACUCUAUGAUGGAACGUGUUUGAUUGUUAUAUCUUUGUUUCGGCGUUUCUGUGUUUGAAUCUUGUUGUAGUAUACUCGUCUGCCUUUUGUUCUUGCUUUGCUUUCUCAUUCAUGUCUAACAGGUGUAGCUAGUUGUUUUUUUAGAAUUUGAAGAGUCGCCGGACAUUUUAUGGAAAAAGGGGACUACUUAUGUCAUUACUAGUUUAGACUUGUCUUUCAUUCAUUGUACUGUAACAAAUAUUGUAAACCUUGUUAUGUAAUAGGAUUUACGGGACUGCAUGGGGGC
rnacentral:lncRNA from 1 species